CCCGCACAAGCGGUGGAGCAUGUGGUUAAUUCGAUGAUACGCGAAGAACCUUACCGGGUUUGACAUGCAGGUGAUCGCCGUUGAAAGACGGUUCCUCUUCGGAGGCACCUGCACAGGUGCUGCAUGGCUGUCGUCAGCUCGUGUCGUGAGAUGUUGGGUUAAGUCCCGCAACGAGCGCAACCCUUAUCCCUAGUUGCCAUCAGGUAAAGCUGGGAACUCUGGGGAGACUGCCGGUGAUAAACCGGAGGAAGGCGGGGAUGACGUCAAGUCCCCAUGGCCCUUACAUCCCGGGCUACACACGUGCUACAAUGGCAGGUACAGAGGGCUGCGAAGCCGCGAGGUGGAGCGAAUCCCAGAAAACCUGUCUCAGUCCGGAUUGAAGUCUGCAACUCGACUUCAUGAAGGCGGAAUCGCUAGUAACCGCGAAUCAGCAGGUCCGCGGUCCGAAUACGUUCCGGGCCUU
rnacentral:rRNA from 1 species